rnacentral:lncRNA from 1 species
CCCAGGCAUUACAUGCUGGAAGUUCCAGGAUAUGAAUCCUCUGGCCGUUCACAUCCUCCUCCUGGAGGUUUCCUAAUUUAGGACUACAGGAUUACACAGAGAGUCUUAUCUCCAUCCCCCGCCCCCAGCUCCUUCCCUACAGCUUUAAUCCCCUGUUGUCACAGGCAGACAAUGCAGCUGAACCCUAUUACGCAGAAGGAACUGUCAGAUGGCGGAUUCUUAAUGGGCUUUGAAGUACCACAGUGGUGGCUGACUCCGUCUGGAAAAAUGGAAAGAAUGAAUGGAAAUAAGACCAAAGGGGCGAAAAGGAGAACUAGUUUGUCCAAAGGUUUCCAAAGGCCAUUUAUGUCUCAGUGGCAAGAGUUCUAAAUAAGGAGAGACUCCUGGGAAUUGGGUUCAGAAGCGAUUUUUCCAUUCACAUCGGAUUCCCAGAACAUAUCAGAGUCUCAGGGCAGCUCCUGAUGAAAUACAGAAAAAUACUAAAGCAAAAAUGAAUGAAACCUGAAAAAAAAAUCUCAGGAAAAAAGAUCGAGGAAAUGAAUUGUUGAUUUCUACAUAUGGUCAACCUUAUUUUGUUAGGAAAUUCCCUUUAAUGUUGCUAUCACCCUGACUUCAGGAACACUGCCAGGAAGAUGGAGGGGAAGGACAGCAUAAUGGGAAGUGAGCUGAACCCCAAAGACCUGGGCACCAGUCCCAGUUCUGCCACUUUCUAGAAGGGUGGCCUUCAGCAACUGAACCCAAUUUGCUCCUCAGUUUCCUCAUCUGUAAGAGACUAAGUGUUAGACCAGCUGGCCUCCAAGGUCUCUUCCAGAUCUAGUACUCUGUGGCUUGGCCCUUGUCCAAAGGGUCAUGAGGACUGGAAAAUAGAUUUCAAAGCGAUCAGAGGAAGGUGAGGUAGGGUCUCUCAAAGCAAUAGCUGACAUGUUAGAGGAAAGAAUAUGGAUCCAAAAAUAUUUUGACAGGCUAGAGCAUUGAGUUGAGCCUAAGAUGAUGAAAUUUAGGGGGUAGCUAGAUGGCUUAGUGUAUUGAGAGCCAGGCCUAGAGAUGGGAGAGUAUAUUCUGUAUAUUCUGCAACAGAAGUCAGCCCAGGAAGGAUGGAAAAUUCAAAGAUAAAAUUCGGAAGAGACAAAGGGAAACAAUUCUAGUGACAAUGAAAAAGGAGAGUUGUCUGAAGACACUAGUAUGGUUGCAGAAAGAACUUAGCAACCAAGUAACUUUUUGAAAAGAUAAAUAGAAAGGUAAGGGCAGGUAGCUGAAGAUAAGGACAAGAGAGAGGCAUUAUACUGGAAAAUUAGUGGUAGGGGGAGCAGUUGGUGGAUUGAGAGCCAGGUCCAGAGAUGGGAAGUCCUAGGUUCAAAUUUAGCUUCAGAUACUUCCUAGGUGUAUGACUCUGGGCAAGUCACUUAACCCCCAUUUUCUAGAGACUACUUUUCUGCCUUGCAACCAAUACACAUUGUUGAUUCAGAGACAUAAGGGUUAAAAAAAGAGAGAGAGAGAAAAUUAGUGUCAGAAGAUCUGUGGCUCUGAAUGAGUUGAGAUUGGCAAGGGAAGUUAAGGUUAUCCCAAAAGGUUUUUAAAAGCCAUAUUAGGGGAAAUGGGGAGAUUUAAAGAAAGUAGUGAAUAUGAUAACUGAUCAAUCCAAUAACAUUUAUUAAGCAUCUACCUAGUGCCAGAUACUGCUAAGUGCUGGGUUUACAAUUAAAUUGCUACAAUUAAAUAAAUAAAUUGUUACAAUUAAAUUAAAUUACA